CAGGGAUUGCCCCAGUAACGGCGAGUGAAGCGGCAACAGCUCAAAUUUGAAAUCUGGCCCCCGGGUCCGAGUUGUAAUUUGUAGAGGAUGCUUUUGGUGAGGUACCUUCCGAGUUCCUGGAACGGGACGCCAUAGAGGGUGAGAGCCCCGUCUGGUCGGAUACCGAUCCUCUGUAAAGCUCCUUCGACGAGUCGAGUAGUUUGGGAAUGCUGCUCUAAAUGGGAGGUAUAUGUCUUCUAAAGCUAAAUAUAGGCCAGAGACCGAUAGCGCACAAGUAGAGUGAUCGAAAGAUGAAAAGCACUUUGAAAAGAGGGUUAAACAGUACGUGAAAUUGUUGAAAGGGAAGCGCUUGUGACCAGACUUGGGCCCGGUUAAUCAUCCAGCGUUCUCGCUGGUGCACUUGGCCGGCCCAGGCCAGCAUCAGUUCGGCGUGGGGGAUAAAGGCGGCGGGAAUGUGGCUCCUCCGGGAGUGUUAUAGCCCACCGUGUAAUACCCUGUGCUGGACUGAGGUUCGCGCAUUCGCAAGGAUGCUGGCGUAAUGGUCAUUAGCGACCCGUCUUGAAACACGGACCAAGGAGUCGUCCUCGUAUGCGAGUGUUCGGGUGUUAAACCCCUACGCGUAAUGAAAGUGAACGCAGGUGAGAGCUUCGGCGCAUCAUCGACCGAUCCUGAUGUUCUCGGAUGGAUUUGAGUAGGAGCAUACGGGGCCGGACCCGAAAGAAGGUGAACUAUGCCUGUAUAGGGUGAAGCCAGAGGAAACUCUGGUGGAGGCUCGCAGCGGUUCUGACGUGCAAAUCGAUCGUCAAAUAUGGGCAUGGGGGCGAAAGACUAAUCGAACGUCAGCG
rnacentral:rRNA from 1 species